ACAGUGGAGGCUGGAGCCUGCCGUGGCUCACCUCGCUGCUGCCGUUGGUGCGGGCCAGGGAGACUAGAGCGCAGCCAGAAUGGCUUUCUUGGCUUUGCCUGCCCAGUUGUUUCAUGCCAGGAGGAGGAGCCGCCUGCUGGAGGCUGGAGCUUGUGGCACCACCGCUCGCCUCGCUGUGGUUGGUGGCGGCCAUGGAGACUAAAGACUCAGCGCUGGAGUGGUAGGAGGGCGGCAAUGAAAACUGAAGAGCACCAGAGCGGUGGCGCUGUGUGGAAGUUUAUGAAGAGACCUGGUCCGGAUCCAAGCUUUCUGUCCCCGUUCUACUUUCUGAAACGCCCACCAAAAGACACGGGCCCCUGGCAUCUCAUAACCACUCAGUUAGUCAUCAUUUCUGUUUUUUAAUAGCUGAGGAUAUCCUGACUACUUGCUCUUCACAAGAUUAUUAUAAAUUAUACUAGUUUAAAUUCAAAGGCAAAGUUUCCCCCUUCCUGCUCCCUGGAAACCUUUAUCCCUGAAUGACAUGGCUAAAUGGCUAAGCUCUCCUGCACCCAAUGCCCUGAUCAAGUGUUUCUUCCUGUAGGGGCCUUUCCUUUUGCCCCAAGGCAAAUCCUUUCUCUGUUGUCCUCCCCUGGCAAUUUAUAAACACUUGUAACAGAA
rnacentral:lncRNA from 1 species